GGGUCAGUAGGUUGGUCGUGCCACCGGUACGUACUGGUCUCACCGAUUCCUCCUUCCUGAAGAACCGUAAUGCCAUUAAUUUGGUGUCGCGGGGAAACAGGACUGUUACUUUGAAAAAAUUAGAGUGUUUAAAGCAAGCUAACGCUUGAAUACAUUAGCAUGGAAUAAUGAAAUAGGACGAUCGAUCCUAUUUUGUUGGUUUCUAGGAUUGACGUA
rnacentral:rRNA from 1 species